AUUGAACGCUGGCGGCAUGCUUUACACAUGCAAGUCGAACGGCAGCGCGGGCUUCGGCCUGGCGGCGAGUGGCGAACGGGUGAGUAAUGCAUCGGAACGUGCCCAGUAGUGGGGGAUAGCCCGGCGAAAGCCGGAUUAAUACCGCAUACGACCUGAGGGUGAAAGCGGGGGACCGAAAGGCCUCGCGCUAUUGGAGCGGCCGAUGUCGGAUUAGCUAGUUGGUGGGGUAAAGGCUUACCAAGGCGACGAUCCGUAGCUGGUCUGAGAGGACGACCAGCCACACUGGACUGAGACACGGCCCAGACUCCUACGGGAGGCAGCAGUGGGGAAUUUUGGACAAAGGGGGCAACCCUGAUCCAGCCAUGCCGCGUGCGGGAAGAAGGCCUUCGGGUUGUAAACCGCUUUUGUUCGGGAAGAAAUCCUCUGGGCUAAUACCCCGGGGGGAUGACGGUACCGGAAGAAUAAGCACCGGCUAACUACGUG
rnacentral:rRNA from 1 species